rnacentral:rRNA from 1 species
UGCCUGGCGGCUUUAGCGCGGUGGUCCCACCUGACCCCAUGCCGAACUCAGAAGUGAAACGCCGUAGCGCCGAUGGUAGUGUGGGGUCUCCCCAUGUGAGAGUAGGGAACUGCCAGGCAUU